rnacentral:rRNA from 1 species
UUUAAAUUAUUUUUGUUUGUGAAGAAACAACAAUAACAAUUAAGGACAAGAAGACCCUAAGAAUUUUUAAUUAAUGAUUACUAACUUAAAUAAAUAAUUAUUAAUUUUAAUUGGGGUGAUUAAUAAAAAUUAAAAACUUUAUUAUAAAAUAAUAUGAACCAUUAAUAAUGGUUUUUUGAAAAAAAUACUCUAGGGAUAACAGCGUAAUAAUUUUUAAUAGUUCAUAUAGACAAAAUAGUUUGCGACCUCGAUGUUGGAUUAGGAUUCUUAUUUAAUGCAGAAGUUANAUAAAGAAGUUUGUUCAACUUUUAAAAUCCUA